UAAAUAGCUCAUUCCCAUUGCCACCUUCCUUCACAAGUAGUGCCACUGAAAUCAGCAGUAAGGCUGGCAAAACCAGACUGCGUAAUCCUGCUUUCUGAGAGAGUUUUGGUUCUGCAUGAUACUACGUAUAUCCUGCAAAGCAUUGGACUUGGGGCCAAUUAAGACUUUGCAGAAUCAAACUGAUAAUUAUCAGGCUUUGAUUAGUGUCACCUCCUGGGAAUAAAGCUUCUGUUUUAACUUUUGAUCUGGAAGACAGGAAGCUCUCUGCUGCUGCUGUCUAGAUUACAGGAGAGAAGCAUGGAGAAAGACGGUAGAAUACAGAAACACCUUUUUAGCAUUGGCUACAGCUACUGCAUGAAAUGGAUCAAUAGUUCUUGGAUAUUGCAACCAGAAGCUUAAACACCUUCUGCUCUCUGCCACAAGAGGCUUCUAGCAAACAGAGAGAACGUGCCCACAACAUGCACACCUUUAAGUAAGUGUUUCUGAACUUCCAAGGGGUAGAGACUGUCUUGCACAGAACUGAAGAGUGUAUGCCAGAAGCCAUGGAGAGUCCUCAUGGUGCAGGGUCUAUGUCAAGUAAUAGUGGGUAAGCUACUGUGUAUGACUGAUAAAUGUCUGUUAGAUAAAGGGGCUUUUUCUUGAAAAGGUGAAGAAUUCUAUUGCAUUGGAUUUAAUCUCACAACAG